GAUGAACGCUGGCGGCGUGCCUAAUACAUGCAAGUCGAGCGAACAGACGAGGAGCUUGCUCCUCUGACGUUAGCGGCGGACGGGUGAGUAACACGUGGAUAACCUACCUAUAAGACUGGGAUAACUUCGGGAAACCGGAGCUAAUACCGGAUAAUAUAUUGAACCGCAUGGUUCAAUAGUGAAAGACGGUUUUGCUGUCACUUAUAGAUGGAUCCGCGCCGCAUUAGCUAGUUGGUAAGGUAACGGCUCACCAAGGCAACGAUGCGUAGCCGACCUGAGAGGGUGAUCGGCCACACGGAAACUGAAACACGGUCCAGACUCUUACGGGAGGCAGAGGUAGGGAAUCUUCCGCAAUGGGCGAAGCCUGACGGAGCAACGCCGCGUGAGUGAUGAAGGUCUUCGGAUCGUAAAACUCUGUUAUUAGGGAAGAACAAAUGUGUAAGUAACUAUGCACGUCUUGACGGUACCUAAUCAGAAAGCCACGGCUAACUACGUG
rnacentral:rRNA from 1 species